rnacentral:rRNA from 1 species
GGGUUGUGAGGUUAAGCGACUAAGCGUACACGGUGGAUGCCCUGGCAGUCAGAGGCGAUGAAGGACGUGCUAAUCUGCGAUAAGCGUCGGUAAGGUGAUAUGAACCGUUAUAACCGGCGAUUUCCGAAUGGGGAAACCCAGUGUGUUUCGACACACUAUCAUUAACUGAAUCCAUAGGUUAAUGAGGCGAACCGGGGGAACUGAAACAUCUAAGUACCCCGAGGAAAAGAAAUCAACCGAGAUUCCCCCAGUAGCGGCGAGCGAACGGGGAGGAGCCCAGAGUCUGAAUCAGUGUGUGUGUUAGUGGAAGCGUCUGGAAAGGCGCGCGAUACAGGGUGACAGCCCCGUACACAAAAAUGCACAUACUGUGAGCUCGAUGAGUAGGGCGGGACACGUGGUAUCCUGUCUGAAUAUGGGGGGACCAUCCUCCAAGGCUAAAUACUCCUGACUGACCGAUAGUGAACCAGUACCGUGAGGGAAAGGCGAAAAGAACCCCGGCGAGGGGAGUGAAAAAGAACCUGAAACCGUGUACGUACAAGCAGUGGGAGCCUCUUUUAUGGGGUGACUGCGUACCUUUUGUAUAAUGGGUCAGCGACUUAUAUUCUGUAGCAAGGUUAACCGAAUAGGGGAGCCGAAGGGAAACCGAGUCUUAACUGGGCGUUAAGUUGCAGGGUAUAGACCCGAAACCCGGUGAUCUAGCCAUGGGCAGGUUGAAGGUUGGGUAACACUAACUGGAGGACCGAACCGACUAAUGUUGAAAAAUUAGCGGAUGACUUGUGGCUGGGGGUGAAAGGCCAAUCAAACCGGGAGAUAGCUGGUUCUCCCCGAAAGCUAUUUAGGUAGCGCCUCGUGAAUUCAUCUCCGGGGGUAGAGCACUGUUUCGGCAAGGGGGUCAUCCCGACUUACCAACCCGAUGCAAACUGCGAAUACCGGAGAAUGUUAUCACGGGAGACACACGGCGGGUGCUAACGUCCGUCGUGAAGAGGGAAACAACCCAGACCGCCAGCUAAGGUCCCAAAGUCAUGGUUAAGUGGGAAACGAUGUGGGAAGGCCCAGACAGCCAGGAUGUUGGCUUAGAAGCAGCCAUCAUUUAAAGAAAGCGUAAUAGCUCACUGGUCGAGUCGGCCUGCGCGGAAGAUGUAACGGGGCUAAACCAUGCACCGAAGCUGCGGCAGCGACGCUUAUGCGUUGUUGGGUAGGGGAGCGUUCUGUAAGCCUGUGAAGGUGUGCUGUGAGGCAUGCUGGAGGUAUCAGAAGUGCGAAUGCUGACAUAAGUAACGAUAAAGCGGGUGAAAAGCCCGCUCGCCGGAAGACCAAGGGUUCCUGUCCAACGUUAAUCGGGGCAGGGUGAGUCGACCCCUAAGGCGAGGCCGAAAGGCGUAGUCGAUGGGAAACAGGUUAAUAUUCCUGUACUUGGUGUUACUGCGAAGGGGGGACGGAGAAGGCUAUGUUGGCCGGGCGACGGUUGUCCCGGUUUAAGCGUGUAGGCUGGUUUUCCAGGCAAAUCCGGAAAAUCAAGGCUGAGGCGUGAUGACGAGGCACUACGGUGCUGAAGCAACAAAUGCCCUGCUUCCAGGAAAAGCCUCUAAGCAUCAGGUAACAUCAAAUCGUACCCCAAACCGACACAGGUGGUCAGGUAGAGAAUACCAAGGCGCUUGAGAGAACUCGGGUGAAGGAACUAGGCAAAAUGGUGCCGUAACUUCGGGAGAAGGCACGCUGAUAUGUAGGUGAAGUCCCUUGCGGAUGGAGCUGAAAUCAGUCGAAGAUACCAGCUGGCUGCAACUGUUUAUUAAAAACACAGCACUGUGCAAACACGAAAGUGGACGUAUACGGUGUGACGCCUGCCCGGUGCCGGAAGGUUAAUUGAUGGGGUCAGCGCAAGCGAAGCUCUUGAUCGAAGCCCCGGUAAACGGCGGCCGUAACUAUAACGGUCCUAAGGUAGCGAAAUUCCUUGUCGGGUAAGUUCCGACCUGCACGAAUGGCGUAAUGAUGGCCAGGCUGUCUCCACCCGAGACUCAGUGAAAUUGAACUCGCUGUGAAGAUGCAGUGUACCCGCGGCAAGACGGAAAGACCCCGUGAACCUUUACUAUAGCUUGACACUGAACAUUGAGCCUUGAUGUGUAGGAUAGGUGGGAGGCUUAGAAGUGUGGACGCCAGUCUGCAUGGAGCCGACCUUGAAAUACCACCCUUUAAUGUUUGAUGUUCUAACGUUGACCCGUAAUCCGGGUUGCGGACAGUGUCUGGUGGGUAGUUUGACUGGGGCGGUCUCCUCCUAAAGAGUAACGGAGGAGCACGAAGGUUGGCUAAUCCUGGUCGGACAUCAGGAGGUUAGUGCAAUGGCAUAAGCCAGCUUGACUGCGAGCGUGACGGCGCGAGCAGGUGCGAAAGCAGGUCAUAGUGAUCCGGUGGUUCUGAAUGGAAGGGCCAUCGCUCAACGGAUAAAAGGUACUCCGGGGAUAACAGGCUGAUACCGCCCAAGAGUUCAUAUCGACGGCGGUGUUUGGCACCUCGAUGUCGGCUCAUCACAUCCUGGGGCUGAAGUAGGUCCCAAGGGUAUGGCUGUUCGCCAUUUAAAGUGGUACGCGAGCUGGGUUUAGAACGUCGUGAGACAGUUCGGUCCCUAUCUGCCGUGGGCGCUGGAGAACUGAGGGGGGCUGCUCCUAGUACGAGAGGACCGGAGUGGACGCAUCACUGGUGUUCGGGUUGUCAUGCCAAUGGCACUGCCCGGUAGCUAAAUGCGGAAGAGAUAAGUGCUGAAAGCAUCUAAGCACGAAACUUGCCCCGAGAUGAGUUCUCCCUGACCCUUUAAGGGUCCUGAAGGAACGUUGAAGACGACGACGUUGAUAGGCCGGGUGUGUAAGCGCAGCGAUGCGUUGAGCUAACCGGUACUAAUGAACCGUGAGGCUUAACCUUACAACGCCGAAGCUGUU